rnacentral:lncRNA from 1 species
GUAUUCGAGAAGCUUGUACGAGCUUAUAACGGGUACCUCUGAAAAGCCAUUAAUCGGGGAGCUCGGGAUAGCCAUAUCGGGAAGCUUCGGAGAAACAUUAAUCAGGAAGCUCACAAAAAGCCUUUACUCAGGAAGCUCAAAAGAGAUAAGGUAUGCCCACAACACAUGUAAGAUCACAGCUUAUCGGGAUGCUCCGAAGAGCUAUAGUAGGAAGCUCGAAAGAAC